GUGGAGACUCGAGCCUGGGGUCGGCGGAGACAGCUGGUGUCUGAAGCCGCUCGCGCCCAGGGUGACCCUGUUUGCAGCACGAUGUCUGAAGAAGAGGCGGCUCAGAUCCCCAGAUCCAGUGUGUGGGAGCAGGACCAGCAGGUGAGGGCUGCCCCUCCCAUGGAGCAGGGACAGAAGGUAUUGUGUGGGACAGUCCCUUCUAGGAGCGUUUCAGGCCAGGUAUCCCGCCCCACUCCUCUCCUUGCUGGGAAAACCUGAGUCAUAAAAUAUUUUGGUCCAUGGAGGGGAUGGUCUAUUUCCUAGUGGGGGCUUAAUGAGGCCCUGGGAGGGGAGUGUCUCUCAAAGACACCCAGCUGGCUUCUGUGGCCCCUACCCAACCCUUUCCCUCUCCUUUGAUCCCUGGGUCUCCACCUGUAUCCUUCUGUCUCCACGUCCACCAUCAUGGCGCCCUCAGUAACAACAAUAGUAAGAGCAGCAAUCACUGUAUCAGUCACAGUUCCAACCGUUUCAUGUAUAUUGGCUCCUUGAACACCCAUCACAACCCUAGUAACCCAUUUCAUAGAUGGGGAAACAAAGGCACCGAACAGUUCAGUGGCUUGCCCAAGUUCACACAACUUGCAGGCAGCUGAACCAGAAGUGAACAGAGGCCACUGUGCUCCAGGGGCAGUGCUCUGAACCCCCAGACUCUAACAUCUCCUCCCUCGAGCAGACAGAUCGCAGUGGACCCUUCAACAACAUGGGUUUGAACUGCACAGGUCAGGCUGGGUGCGGUGGCUCAGACGCCUGUAAUCCCAGCACUUUGGGAGGCCAAGCGGGCAGAUCAACUGAGGUCAGGAGUUCGAGACCAGCCUGGCUAACUUGGUGAAACCCUGUCUCUACUAAAAAUACAAGAAUUAGCCGGGUGUGG
rnacentral:lncRNA from 1 species